rnacentral:rRNA from 1 species
UGAGGAAUAUUGGUCAAUGGACGAGAGUCUGAACCAGCCAAGUAGCGUGAAGGAUGACUGCCCUAUGGGUUGUAAACUUCUUUUAUACGGGAAUAAAGUGAGGCACGUGUGCCUUUUUGUAUGUACCGUAUGAAUAAGGAUCGGCUAACUCCGUGCCAGCAGCCGCGGUAAUACGGAGGAUCCGAGCGUUAUCCGGAUUUAUUGGGUUUAAAGGGAGCGUAGGCGGACGCUUAAGUCAGUUGUGAAAGUUUGCGGCUCAACCGUAAAAUUGCAGUUGAUACUGGGUGUCUUGAGUACAGUAGAGGCAGGCGGAAUUCGUGGUGUAGCGGUGAAAUGCUUAGAUAUCACGAAGAACUCCGAUUGCGAAGGCAGCUUGCUGGACUGUAACUGACGCUGAUGCUCGAAAGUGUGGGUAUCAAACAGGAUUAGAUACCCUGGUAGUCCACACAGUAAACGAUGAAUACUCGCUGUUUGCGAUAUACAGUAAGCGGCCAAGCGAAAGCGUUAAGUAUUCCACCUGGGGAGUACGCCGGCAACGGUGAAACUCAAAGGAAUUGACGGGGGCCCGCACAAGCGGAGGAACAUGUGGUUUAAUUCGAUGAUACGCGAGGAACCUUACCCGGGCUUGAAUUGCAACUGAAUGAUGUGGAGACAUGUCAGCCGCAAGGCAGUUGUGAAGGUGCUGCAUGGUUGUCGUCAGCUCGUGCCGUGAGGUGUCGGCUUAAGUGCCAUAACGAGCGCAACCCUUAUCGAUAGUUACCAUCAGGUGAUGCUGGGGACUCUGUCGAGACUGCCGUCGUAAGAUGUGAGGAAGGUGGGGAUGACGUCAAAUCAGCACGGCCCUUACGUCCGGGGCUACACACGUGUUACAAUGGGGGGUACAGAAGGCAGCUACACGGCGACGUGAUGCUAAUCCCUAAAGCCUCUCUCAGUUCGGAUUGGAGUCUGCAACCCGACUCCAUGAAGCUGGAUUCGCUAGUAAUCGCGCAUCAGCCACGGCGCGGUGAAUACGUUCCC